rnacentral:lncRNA from 1 species
AAGGAUUUGAAGCUCUAGUUUGGUCUUCUUUGGUACGUGUUCCUCUAAUCUUACUAGCGACGCAUUGGUUCUGGGGAUUAACAACAGUAGUAUAAUCCAUGGUUAAUUGGAUCUGUGUUGCAUGAUGGUAUUAGUGGUUACCAGCCUUGCGAACUGAUGUGAGGAUGAGCAAAUAGUUGAACCUUCUAGCUAGCUUCUCGUUGUAUUAUGGUUCGCUGGAUUUCUAGUGCCAGGGAUAACUUUAGUCGGCGUUUCAAUUAGACUAGUACGAAUACUAGUGCUCCAUGAAUUGGGAUUGGGCAGAUUGCAUCCGGACAAGAACUAAUCAACUCGUGAGACAAUGGCUAGCUAACUGAUGGCUUGUUUCAUGCCUACUGUUUAUACCUUGUUCAUUGGAAUCAAGUUUCUUAUGGUACAGGGAUGAAAUAAACGACUACAGGGACACAUAGUUUUACUUUGUAGAGUCUAUCGGUUCGGUGCUCUGUGCUAGUAUACUAGCAAAGAAGGUGUUAAAUAGUCGCCUACUAGCAGAGAAGGUGUUAAAUUAAAACUGAAUUUUGUAACUGAUUGCUGCUGAGGAGAAUUGCUGCCGACGAGUAAUUUGUUAACUGCAGUCUAGAUAAAAUAGCUCUGGGACAAUGUUAACCGGUUAGAGGAGAUACAUUGAGUUUUAAAUAUAUAUCCAUGUACUAUCUUGUACAAUAUUCUGAGUGUGGAUUAAUAUACAGGUUUGACAACUUUGUGUUUGAAGGGUGCUUUUUGAGACAACCUUCAGUAUCGAGGCAAGUUCAUGACCGACCUCUUUCAUUGUAUGCAUGGUUGUCUUGUUGCUUGUGCUUCAGUGUACUUUGUUCUUCGCAUUUGGUGUUUGAACUUGAUACUUCCAGUUUCAGUCAAUCUAUAUGCAAUUUGAUAGUUAUUAUUACUAUAUAGUUUAACAAUGUUCUCUAUCAUGCAGCUGUUGAUACCUCACGGUCUGAUAAGCUCAUAGUAUCUCUUCCGGUAGUGGUGUAGCUUGAGGAAGCAAUGCCUUAGGGACACAGGGCAAGAGGAAGUACGCAAAAUUCCGUAGCCUGCUCGGAUUUGAGGAUGAUGUGUGAGCUCCAUGCGUGAGCCUUUUAUCCUGUACUGUGUCCAAAGCUAUGUGUGAGAUUUAUUUGUGAGACCUAAGCUAUGUGUGAGAAUGUUGCAAUGUCUGAGACCUUAGUUCUUGAAUUAUGC